AUGAUUCAAAUAAGGAAGAGAUGUCGUUGUACUGACAAGGGUAAGUUUAAAACUGAGCUGCACACUAAUACAAACGCUAGCAUCAACACAAGACUAAGCUUGGUGGGAAGGCUGAAACUUCAAAAAGGAAAUUUAUCUAAUCAGAAUAAAGAGGCGGUACAAGUUGAAUUAACUGACAAAUGGUAUCCUAAUAUGCCAUUUUUGGAUGUUCCUUUGUUAAAGCAGCUGGCUGCCGAAGGAAUUGUUUGUAGGACAGAAGCUUGA